GUAUCUAUACAGUUUUUCAGCGCAUCGUGUGUAUUUUUCACGUAACAGCUCCCUUCGGGGCAUUCGGAAAACGCUUCUCGUCGGAUAUUUCUACCCAGAGGAUGCUCUUUCUGUUUAAAAUAGAAGUAGAUUUGAAUUCUCUCUGCAAAGAGAAGGUCCGGUAUCCUGGCGGGAGACGCAAAGUGCCACUGGGUGCUGGAACGUGGAGGCUGAAAGUCAAGAAUGUUUAGCAGAUAAAAAUAUCUACCUGGAAUUUAACACAUUGUUCUCAAUACAUCUGUUUAUGACCAUCUCUACUGCACAGCAAGUGGUAACAUCAGUCUUCGUUUUCCAUCUCUGGGCAUUACAGCAGCAUUUAUCUAACUUGCCUGAUGAGAUUCACCUGGAGCAAAUUCCUGUACCCAUUUCUAAAAGAUUCUGAUGUCUUGGAUCUGCAACAUGACCCAGGAUCAGAUUUCUAACAAGUACUCACCUCACCCUGAGUGUCCCAUCAGACAAACUUAAGAAAUACCGAAUGACACUGCAGUGGAAUUAGCAUAGUUUUAGGCGUCAGCUAAACUCGGGUCCACAUUCCGUGUCAGUUAUUUUCCAGGUGGGUGAUUAUUUCAGCAUGUUACAUAACUUGCUAGAAAAUUUGUAGUAAUAAUGUCUUCCUGUCGAACCACUAUGACAUCUAAAUAAGGUGCUGCAAGACGCCUAGUACAGGGCUGGGCAUACCUGGAUUUGUGUAAUGGUUGACCUGAACACCUUAUGUUGUGAUUUUUCCCCUCUAAGAACAGAAGAGGCUAAUAAAUUGUUACUAUGGUUCUUAAACAAGUUACACUAAGUGUCAUGCCUUUUUUCCAGAAGAUAGCCCACAUCAAGGGAG
rnacentral:lncRNA from 1 species